CGGGACGGGUGAGUAAUGUCUGGGAAACUGCCUGAUGGAGGGGGAUAACUACUGGAAACGGUAGCUAUACCGCAUAACGUCGCAAGACCAAAGAGGGGACCUUCGGGCCUCUUGCCAUCGGAUGUGCCCAGAUGGGAUUGGCUAGUAGGUGGGGUAACGGCUCACCUAGGCGACGAUCCCUAGCUGGUCUGAGAGGAUGACCAGCCACACUGGAACUGAGACACGGUCCAG
rnacentral:rRNA from 1 species